GGUUGUUUAUAUCAGAAGAAAAAUGAGAUUGGAUGAUUUGCGGCAUAGGUUGAUUCCUUUGUACAGCUACGACCCUGCAGAGGAACAGGAAGACUGGGGUGAUGCUGGCAGGGAGGAUGAGGAUGCGGAGCUCAAUGAACCUUUGUACAAGAAGGCACAGCUCACCAUUUCCUCUGGCUACGCAACAUGAUCACAAAUUUC